AAGUCGUAACAAGGUAACCGUAGGUGAACCUGCGGUUGGAUCAUUAAAAAAAAGGACCAUUGCCUCUCACAGCAGUGAAAGUUGGCUGGUGGUAUCCACAUCUUGUGAACCGUCCCGUCUUUGGUGGUGGGGUGGCCGCUGCUCACCGCAGCGUGUCAUCUGUCAGCCCGGAUCCGCGUGGUCCGAGCCGUGGACAAGCCACCGCAUGCUUUUUCAAACCCUUUGUUUUGUUCUUGGACUUACAUUUUUGUUGUGUUUAAUUACAAACAACUUUUGGCAACGGAUCUCUUGGUUCUC
rnacentral:misc_RNA from 1 species